GAUGAAGAACGUAGCGAAAUGCGAUAAGUAAUGUGAAUUGCAGAAUUCAGUGAAUCAUCGAAUCUUUGAACGCACCUUGCACCCUUUGGCAUUCUGAAGGGUAUGCUCGUUUGAGUGUCAUUGUACUCUCACACUCCCGAUCUUUGCAUUGGGAGCAGUGGACUUGGGUUUGCUGCUUCACCGUCGCUAACCUCAAAUAGGUUAGUGCAACUCUUGGUUGGACAUAGUACGGCGUGAUAAGUGUUCUUCGCCGGUGCCUCGCAAAGAGGGUGGCCGAUCGGGAUGUUGUGCUCCAAACCGUCUUCGGACAAUCUCUGACGACUUGACCUCAAAUCGAGUAAGACUACCCGCUGAACUUAAGCAUAUCAAUAAGCGGAGGA
rnacentral:misc_RNA from 1 species